rnacentral:rRNA from 1 species
AGCGAACGCUGGCGGCAGGCCUAACACAUGCAAGUCGAGCGCCCCGCAAGGGGAGCGGCAGACGGGAGAGUAACACGUGGGAACGUACCCUUCAGUUCGGAACAACCCAGGGAAACUUGGGCUAAUACCGAAUACGUCCGUAAGGAGAAAGAUUUAUCGCUGAAGGAUCGGCCCGCGUCUGAUUAGCUAGUUGGUGAGGUAACGGCUCACCAAGGCUACGAUCAGUAGCUGGUCGAGAGGAUGAUCAGCCUCACUGGGACUGAGACACGGCCCAGACUCCUACGGGAGGCAGCAGUGGGGAAUAUUGGACAAUGGGCGCAAGCCUGAUCCAGCCAUGCCGCGUGGGUGAUGAAGGCCCUAGGGUAGUAAA